UGAUAAGAGAUCUUCCGGUGUUCAUAAGGGGUCCUGCCAUCCACCCUCAGCUCCUCCCUAAGAGCCUGAACAUAUGCUUGUUGGUUAAUGCCGGCAUGAAACACAUAAGCGCAAAUAUCAUACCUAUAAUUUUAUAGGUUACAAAGACACUGCACAGUAUAUAGGUACCUUCAGGACAAAUUCACGUUCAUUUGUGGAGAUGAGGUCUGUGUCUCUUUGCAUCAGAUCGUCUGUUUUUAGCACCCGCGAAAAAGCAUGAACUGGAUCAAAACCAACAGAUAUACUCCAGUUUUUCUGACGUUUUGCUUUAUUCGAAGCACCGAUCUUGUUCUUGAGAGCAGC
rnacentral:lncRNA from 1 species